AAGGAAUUGGGAAUGCUACCUGUAAGAAGAUUUGAAGCAAGAUUCAGGUCUGCAAGCCUAGAAAAUUCACCCAAUUCUGAUGGGAUAGUCCCGGAGAAUGAGUUUUUCUCCAAAUGCAAAGAUGAAAUUUGCUUUAGUUUUCCAAGUUCAGAAGGUAUUGCACCCGAGAAGUUAUUGUUAUCCAAGUAAAGCCUUUCCAACUGUGUGAGUUUCCCAAGUUCUUUUGGAAGCUCACCUGAAAAUCUGUUAUUUGAUAAUACCAACUGAUUCAGGCUAGUAGCAGCCCCAAUUUCCGGGGACAUAGUUCCACUGAAUUCGUUAUCACUGAAAUCCACCAU
rnacentral:misc_RNA from 1 species